GUGGGUGGAAGCUCAUCAUAGAGGUGGUCACAUGCAGGGUGCUCAUCACUCAACCAAUCACCUUGGGGAAGGUCUGAGACAAGAGCCAAUCACUUCCCUAGCAGGGUAUCACCUGAUCUGGGCGAGUGAGUGCACAGAGAAUAUGAGCCAUUGUGAGUUAUCUUUACAGAAGAAACCAGCCAGUGCAGCUCUCCAGCACUACUACUGGUGGAUGUGACCUCACUGGCUUUGAAACACUCAUGGCUGGCAUAUGAGUGCAAUGUGUGAGUUGGAGUAUACCUCCAGAACCCAAUUCAGACUACUCUCUGCCCAC
rnacentral:RNase_P_RNA from 1 species